rnacentral:rRNA from 1 species
AGAGUUUGAUCAUGGCUCAGGACGAACGCUGGCGGCGUGGAUUAGGCAUGCAAGUCGAACGGUAUAAACCUUUCGGGGUUUAGAGAGUGGCGAACGGGUGAGUAACACGUAGGUAAUCUACCCUCAAAACGGGGACAACCCAGGGAAACUUGGGCUAAUACCGGAUGCGUGCAAGCAAUGUUUUGGCUGUUAAUGCUAUUCACGGAAGUGAGUAGUGUUAAUGGUUGAGAGCAUUAUUUGCAUAAAAGGUGGCAUAUGCUGCCGUUUGAGGAUGAGCCUGCGUCCUAUUAGUUAGUUGGUGAGGUAAUGGCUUACCAAGGCGAUGAUAGGUAGGCGGCCUUAACGGGUGGUCGCCCACACUGGGAUUGAGAGACGGCCCAGACUCCUACGGGAGGCAGCAGUCGAGAAUAGUCUACAAUGGACGGAAGUCUGAUAGUGCGACGCCGCGUGAACGAAGAAUCCCUUCGGGGUGUAAAGUUCUUUUAUACGUGAGCAGUGCCCUUUAUAUGAAUAGUAUAGAGGGAGGGAUUUAAGCGUAUGAAUAAGCAACGGCUAACUCCGUGCCAGCAGCCGCGGUAACACGGGGGUUGCAAGCGUUGUCCGGAAUUACUAGGCGUAAAGUGCAGGUAGGCGGAUAGAUAAGUUUAAGGUUAAAGGCUACGGCUUACCCGUAGUAAGGCGUUAGAUACUGUUUAUCUGGAAUGCGGUUGAGGGAGACAGAAUUCCUGGUGUAGCGGUGGAAUGCGCAGAGAUCAGGAGGAAUACCGAAAGGCGAAAGGCAGUCUUCUAAGCCGAUAUUGACGCUAAACUGCGAAAGGUGUGGGGAUCAAACAGGAUUAGAUACCCUGGUAGUCCACACAGUAAACGAUAUCACUAGUGUUGGUUCGUAUAGGACUCGGUGCCGGAGCUAACGCGAUAAGUGAUUCGCCUGGGGAGUACGAUCGCAAGUUGAAACUAAUGAUUGACGA